rnacentral:lncRNA from 1 species
CAAAACAAAAUUCUUACAGAUUCUGAAAUCUGUUUAACAUCAUCGAAUAAAAUUAAUGGUGACCAAACUCGUACAUAUACAAAAACUUCAUUAAUUUCUUCAUAGAAUUGAUCGGCAUCCUCGUGGAUCUUCUAUAAGUGUUAUCUUCUUGUUGCUAUAUAUUGAAUCGGCUCCGAAUUUGGUACCAUCCUUUCUUGAAAAACCCUACAAAUUUCCAACCAAAUUUGAUAUUGGCAUCUUUGAUUCUCUUGGAGCCCGCCUUUAAGAGACUCUUCAUCUCGCUCAGUUCUUUCAUGACGAUGAUGAUGACGACGACCUAAUUUUU